rnacentral:rRNA from 1 species
GACGAACCGUGCGAACGUUAUUCGGAAUCAUUGGGCUUAAAGGGCGCGUAGGCGGGCGACCGCGUCGAGUGCUGAAAGCCCCCGGCUCAACCGGGGAAUGGGCCUCGAAACGGGUCGCCUCGAGGCGAGGAGGGGGACCUGGAACUUCCGGUGGAGCGGUGAAAUGCGUUGAGAUCGGAAGGAACGCCGACGGCGAAAGCAAGGUCCUGGACUCGUCCUGACGCUGAGGCGCGAAAGCCAGGGGAGCGAACGGG